CUCGGGCACAGCAGCUGCGCCGGUGGUGCUGCCCGACGAAAAGGGGGCAGGGGAAGCGCGGCCGUCUUCUCCAUCGUCCUCCGGCGCCGCCCCGGUCAGCGAGAUGGGGAACUUGCACAUACAUGUUGUGCAAAUGCACUUGAAGAUGGUUGGGAUGCCAGAUUCAUCACAGUUUGUUGAUGCUGCACAUGUUGGACACCAAGAUUAACUGGGACUGGUCCGCAGCUGUUUGGAGUUCUUUUGCCAUAGUUCCGUCCAGCACCUACAAAAUGAAGAGAAAACAUUGUUGCUGAGGAAUCUUCCUUACUGCUGCAGGAUUGCUGUUACAAACAUGAGAAGAGAGAAAAGAAAAUCAGAUCUAGAACAAAUCAGAGAAGAGAAGGUGGGGGGAAAGGUGGGAGGGGGUGAAAAUCAGAGAAGAGAUCAGACGCCCUUACACUAGUGAGUUUCUCCAUGCUUGUGGGCAUGGGGUUUUGCCUGGGUUCAGUCAAAAAGUACAGUUCAUAAAGCAGAGCAGCAA